UAGAAGGCUCUUUUCAGAGCCAACACACAUUUUCCAAAACGAAUUUG
rnacentral:ncRNA from 1 species